rnacentral:tRNA from 1 species
UAUAAGAUGCCUGAUUAAAGGAUAAUUUUGAUAGAAUUAAUCAUGUGUGAAUACACUCUUAUAA